UCUGUGCAGAGCCGGUGGGGGGAGAGCAGCAUCUGCGAGUCUAGGGGAAUAGAUGCCCUAACCGCCGGAAUAUUCAGAGGUCUGCCUGGACAGUCCUGAGACUAAGCAUCUGGUCACCUUGCACUUGGCUCUGUAUCGGGCCAGAAGAAACAAACUUAGAAAACAAGAUAACUGAGAGGAAUCUAUUUUUGAGAAAAGGAGCUUUUGUGUCUGAUUUUAGGCACGGUUUCUCUGUGUAAUAACCUUGGCUGUCCCUGAACCUGUUCUAUAGAGCUCGAAAUGACAGAAAUCUGCCUCCCAAGUGCUGGGAUUAAAGAGAACUCUGCCAUCAAGAAGGCUAUCUUCUCAACCGGAUGCUCUUGGCCGGAAUAUGAGACAAAAGAGAUAUAUCACCCUCCCCCAUACUUCCCCUCCCCCUGGCCGAGAGUUUGCUUUGUGGACCAGGCUGGUCUCAAACCUGCGGCAGUUCUUGUGCCUCCUGCUCCCGAGUGCUGGAAUUAGGCACAGGUGUGGAGGCCAGAGAUCGACCUCAGGUGUGGUUCCUCCGGCGCCAUAGGAGCUCGCUUUUUGAGACGGGAUCCCCUGCUGAUCGGAAACUUGCACAGUGCGUGUUUAUAUGAGUCUGCACUCUUGUGGGUACCCAUGUGAGCAUAUGCACUUAAAGGCCAGAGGUCAACUUCAGCAUCAUUCUUCAGGAGCUGGGCAGGGCUGGCUGCCCAGGGAGCCCGGGGAGCCACCUGUCUCCUACUCUCCAGUGGUGAGACCCCAAGUCCUGACAUUUGUAUAUGGGUGCUGGGCGUGGAACCCCAUCCUCACACUUGUUUUAGCGUGCACGUCACCCAUCAAGCCGUCUCCCUAACCUGAAACAUACCUUUUUAAUAAAUAAUUUGUAUAUUUACUAAUGUACAAGUAAAAAUACUCACCCAGUUAGUAAAAUAGUUACUUGUAAGUGUGCCUACUAUGUGUGUAAAAUUUACCAAGGAAAGUAUUAAAAGCACUGUC